AUACAGAGGGUGCGAGCGUUAAUCGGAAUUACUGGGCGUAAAGCGCGCGUAGGCGGCUACUUAAGUCAGAUGUGAAAUCCCCGGGCUCAACCUGGGAACUGCAUCUGAUACUGGGUAGCUAGAGUUUUGGAGAGGGAAGUAGAAUUUCAGGUGUAGCGGUGAAAUGCAUAGAGAUCUGAAGGAAUACCAGUGGCGAAGGCGACUUCCUGGCCAAAAACUGACGCUGAGGUGCGAAAGCGUGGGUAGCAAACGGGAUUAGAAACCCCAGUAGUCC
rnacentral:rRNA from 1 species